AACCUCAGGUUGCUCUCUGUGCUGAACUCGAGUUUCACCAGGGUGUUCUGCAUUCUCCCUUGGCAACCUCUGGCCCUUUAAACUCUGGUUUCACGUUACAUGAUAAUGCGGUUUUAGUAUGAGACAUUAACCCUUUCAUAUCCAGACAUCUCUAAAACAUUUACCUUCUAACUCACUUCAUCACAGAAGAGAUAGAGAUUUCCCCCCCCCCCCAUUUGGAACAAUUUAUUCAUCCACAAGGUCUGGUAUUGCACAAUGAGCCUGUUACUAAUCUGGGCAGUCAUAAACCACCAUUUUUUCAAUAUCUACAAAUUAGGCAUGUUAUCUUGUCAUUGCUUCAGCAGCAUGGCUCAUUACAUAAUAAGUCUUUGGGAUUAUUAUUACUGUUGGGACCAAAACAGUGGGUAGAAUCUGAAUACCUCUUUUAAAUCUGGACACACUCCAAUUCCAUUUUAGAGGCAAAUGAGAAAAGGACCUUUUUGUUACUAUUCUAUCAGAUGACAGGGUAUUGAUCCUUGAUAACAGGCUGCCUAAAUUAAUUUCUUCAAACCUGAGAAAGAAUAGCCCUAUUCACAUUAUGUUAGUUGCACAUACAUUCUGUGUAUAGUGUAUGCAUGUACAGAUCUGUGUGUGUAUCUGUUGUUCAUGUUAUGUUCAACUACUGCACAGUAGUACAUCUAUACCCUAUAUUUGAGGGGCAUGUUGCCCAGGUUCACCUUUAAAAUUAACAUAUGGACAGAUUCUCACACAGACACCUGCAUAUGCAUACAGAUGCCUGUACACAUGUGCAGUGUAAUAUCUGAACAGAGCUGAUUUUUUUUAAAUUAUUAGUGGUACCUAACUCCUCAUCAACAUCAUCAUAUUUACCCAGUGCUACCAUUUUUGUUGGAGAGUUUCCACUGAACAUGCAGAUUGUCAGUAUAUAUUUUUGGAUUCUCCUCUAAAAAAAAAAUGUUUGACCAUAGGUUAAGAUAUUUCCCCUGAUCCUAGGAUAACAAUGCUGUGGUUUUUAAAAGAUGAAGUCCACGCACACACACACAAAAAUUAAAUUUGCUUAUGGCAGCAAAGGUUUGCAUAACAUCUGCAUGGAAACAAUCUGAAGCCACCUUACUGUCAGCCUAGUUUAAGAAUAUAUAGGAAAUGGUAUUGAUGGUUAAACUGGCAUAUUAUGAGAAGUUUUCAAUAUAAUUAUGCAGAUAAAUAUAUUGAGAAAUUUUCCUUUUUGUGACUUAUUGGAAUAAUGAAUGUCAGUAUCAAAUCUAUCCUUAUGUAUUUUUCUCAGCCUUGUAAAUACUCUGCAUUAUACACAUUUAUUAAUUUUUUAAAAAUAAAUUUUGGAUUUAAAAAAGGCAGCCAGUGCUGUGAGCACAAACUGCUCUGCUGUACAGUCCUCACGUCUAGCCAUUAUGGUGGGGGAGGGGAAGCACUGUGCACCAUCAGAGGGCCCAGCACAAGACUUUGCCCCAGGGUCCCUACCACCGAGCACCAACCCUGCAUCCCUGUGACUGAUUGGGUUGGAAAGGUAACUCCAACGUUCAGUUAAACAAUCAAUGGAUGCUACGAUUGGGCUGGUUCAUAUCUGCCUCCUCAUCACUUGAUGACCAUAGGAUGAAGUGAUGAGUUGCAUUUGGGGAAAAGCCAUCACAGAUGCAAUGCUCCAGAUGCAUCUUCCACCCCAUGACACCACAAGCAGAAUGGCCCCUCUCCAAGGUUUCAGGCAGGAGACAAUCUCUCCCUGCCCUACCUGGAGGUGCUUCCAGGGAUUGCAAAGCAGAUGUUCUACCACUGAGUGAUGGCUCAAAAGGCAUCACAGUGUGGAUGGGGCUGUGCGUUGAAAGAUCCUUUUGCACUGGCAAUACAUGCUUAAGGCUGCUUUAUUUGCAUGGAUCUCUCUUACUAGGUGAGAGUGAUCCCACACACACACACACCCUCUACUGUCAAUGGCAGUCUUGAAUGAGAAAUCAAGUGAAGCAUAGCACAUGGCUGUGCUAACCAGCCCUCGGUCUUGCAAAAACAAAAAAACAAAACCCAGCAAGUUGUGAAUAUCUACAUGUCAGCUUCCUCCCUUUCCCCAGUUCACCCUGAUCCAUUUUUAAAUGCUGCUGCAACCGGAAAAUAGCGAUAAUGAAUGUUAAUGGCUUGAGGAGUUGAUGCCAUGCUGACUCAUGUUAAUUUUCAUCUUUCCAGAAGAUAACCAUAUUGUCCCCUCAAUAUAACUAGAACUAAUGCUGAUGCUUGUCAUUGUCCUCUAUGGAAAUUAAUGACCCCUGUUAGCUAGAGCCAGCAGAACCUGGUAGGCUACGUGGUGUGACUACAUUUCAAACGAAAGGAGGUUUGACAUGCCUCACUGUGGUGCACAUAUGCUUCAAGGCCAAGCACUGCAUUACCUCUAAGUGGUGUGCCACUGAAGGGCUUUCUGCAAGAAGAGAGAGUGAAAUGUGAGGUUAUCUCUGCUCUGGCAUGUGACAACAUGGGGUCUGCCUACUGCGCAAAACACAGGUUAUCAAUUCAGACCUGAAAUAGAAAGUGCAGAUAUUUAAGAGAAUGUAUAAUUUAUACACAAAGGCUGGAGGGGGAAAAACUGCAUUGCUUUCAGAAUUUAAUUACCCCGUUUAAAAAAUAUGGGCAACACAAUGAGACACAGCUGUGACUCGCCAGGAAUAGUUUCCGAACAUCAAAGCACCUUUGUCAAUCCUGCAAAAUGUUAUAUAUUGCUUCUUUUACAAGGGUAAAUGGAAAGGACCAUCAAACUGAAGGUCAAAAACAAUAAUGUGGAAUUAACUGGCAUGGAAGAGGAUCUUUUUGAAGACAUCUGUUACAGGCAGCAGUUCCAAAAUCUAAAAGAAAGAAAAGGAGCAGGCAGCACAAAGCUACCCAGCUGUGACUAAUUUGGGACUCCUUUGAUAACACUUAGGAUGCUGUUUUUGGAAGUGUCUUCCAUUUGCAAGCCACAGUAUAUUUCUGAUUGCCCCCAGCCAACAGGAGCAAUGUGAAAGUGACAGCAUGGUGAAAAUGGCACCCUGUUCCAGAUAAGUGAAGCAGAGCUGUCUCUCUCCUCCUCCUCCUCAGGAAAGCCUUCUUACAGCAAUCCGAUGUUGAUGCUCGGUUGUUGUGCAGCCUCCUUGGUUGAAAGGUUUUCUGGAUAUCGGGGAAAUGCCUUUUCACACAACGUAAGAACUCUUCGGGAUGACAGUUUAUGGGCAAUAGCUGGUGAGGACGCACAGCUAUAGACAAUUCUAAUUCACUCCUCUCACUUUGGGAAUUACAUGCCACUGUUUCAAUUCAAGGUGCUGUUUUUGACCUUUAAAGCCCUUAAUGGUUUGGACCCAGGAUACCUGAGGGAUUGCCUUCUCCCAAGGGUUGCUGCCCACUUGACGAGGUCAUCUGAGGGGGUUCUGCUCCAGGUGCCAACAAUGAGGGAGGCUUGGUUGUCAUGCACUCGGGACAGGGCCUGCUCUGUUGCUGCCCCCAGACUCUGGAAUGCUCUGCCGGUGGCUAUCUGCUCCUAAGUCUCCAUCACAGCUUUUAGAAAGCAUGUUAAAUCCUGGCUUUUCACCCAGGCUUUUAUAUGAUUGUCUCUGCUGCUUCUCUUUGUAUUCUGUACUGUUUUUAUGAGUGUGUUUUCAAUUUUUAAUCAGAUUUGUUUUUAUAUUUUUAGCUGAUAUUUUAAUUGUGUCAUUUUUAAUGAUCUUGUUUUAAAUUCUGUUGUAAACCACCUUGGGGUUAUUUUAAUGAAAGGGGGUAUAUAAAUUUAAC